UUUCCUUGUGAGCCUGAAAUUUGACUUCCGCCACGCGAACGCUGUAAACAAACUGAAAAAUACGGUCAUGGCAAGCGUACGCGAAACAUACGAUUCCACACUUCUUGGAAUAUUGUCGAAUGAAGGCGAGAUUACCAAUUUUCUGGAUGUAGUUAUCGGAUUCCUAUACAGAAGGACAGACUUUUUCCGCAUCAUGAAAAGCAAAGAUGACAAGCUUGGUUUUCCACCAGGAACUGCAGCUAAACUACUAUUGAAGGAAUUCCAGAAGUAUGAAGCAUUAGCUCAGAAGGAUGAGAUGGAAAGAGAGAAGAAAAAGGCUGAUACAAGUUUGGCCAAAACUGCACCGACACAACCACCAGUUACCCGUGAGACAACAACCACAUCCAAAACUAACAUUCCUGCUACUGUCUCCACACCAAAAGCAACAGCACCACAUGCCACCGAUACCACUGUCCCCUCCACAGUUGGUGCUGGUGAUGUGAAGACUCUACCAAGUCAGAAGAAGGAUGAAGAUACAGGCACAGUAACUUCCAAGGAGCAGCAGGCAUUCCAGGAUAACCCAAUGAGUUACAAUGGCGCUGUGAGGGAGAAGUAUGUCUGGUCACAGUCAAUAACAGAUGCUGAUAUUCGAAUCUUUGUGCCACCGUACAUUAAGAAAGGAAAGCAGGUUGAAGUAACCAUUGAGAAACGGCAUCUGCGAGUGUGUUACCGUGACGACAAGAAUGUGUCUCAGACAGUCGUAGAUGGUAAUCUGACCUGGGAUGUCAACAAAGAGGAAUGUAUGUGGAGUUUGGUUCCUGCCGAACACGUACAUGUAAGUUUAGAAAAACGAGAAGAAAGAUGGUGGGAAUCAGCAUUAGAGGACGAGCCUAAGAUUAAUGUUCGUAACAUUGACUGCAGUCGGCCUAUGACGGAUCUUGAUGAUGAAGCCCAGGCCAAGAUUGGUGAGAUGAUGUUCAAUGAGCAGCAGAAACGCCAAGGGCUUCCACAGUCACAUGAACAGAAACAGCAUGAAAUGCUUCGGAAAGCCUGGGAUGCCAAAGGUUCGCCCUUCAAGGGCCAGCCCUUUGACCCUUCAGUCCUAAACAUCAAUUCAGAGGGUGUCAUCUCGGCCAAUGUCAACAAGUCCUGAUAUAAUUACUGUUUGUGUAUUAUGAAUGUCACAUCCGAGUGAUAAUAUUGCAAUUUGAAUGUGAUAAUUGUGUCAUGUAACUGUCAUGGCCAUUGUCAUAUUGGAAACAAGUGUUUGAACUGUGUCCCCUUGCUGUUGGUCGAGAGUGAAAUGCAACUAUCACUUCCAUAACAGAAUGACGCUCUGUAUUUGCUUGGGUGAAAUAUAUGUACAGUGAAAACACUUUAGUUCAUUUGGCCCAGAAAGUGGAUGAUGAAUACUGCUGGGAAUGGACAUAUAUGCAAAGGAAAAUUAUUCCAUGUAAGGAAAAAAGGUAAUUGUGGGCAUUUCACAAGGAAAGUUACUGUCUAGAUCAACAGGGCAUCACUGUAUUCAAGUAAAGAGGACAUGACUUGGAACAUAGUUCUUUAGUGUGUUGUUUGGUCAUAAUGUCUGCAAUCCUAAUAAUAACUGCCAGCAAAUGAUGUAGAAAAUACAUAAUGAGACAGUAGCUAUGCUAACUGGUCUGGUAAGAUUUUCCACUUUGCACAUGGACUUCAAAUGACAUUUUUAAUGACAGGAGAAGGUGAAUGCAUGCUGCUAGAUUUGCUUACUGCAAUGUCUUUUACACAAGGCCUUCUUGUUUCCUGAAAUGGAUAGUUGUUGUCUGGCUGCUUUAAGGGUGUUGAUGAGUUGUGUUUGAAUGUUGUUGUCUGGCUGCUUUGAGGGUGUUGAUGAGUUGUGUGUUAACGUUGUUGUCUGGCUACUUUGAGAGUGCUGAUGAGGUCAGUAUGAAUAUUGUUGUCUGGCAACAUUGAGGGUGUUGAGGUCUGUAUGAAUGUUGUUGUCUGGCUACUUUGAGGGUGCUGAUGAGGUCAGUAUGAAUGUUGUUGUCUGGCUACUUUGAGGGUGUUGAUGAGGUCUGUAUGAAUGUUGUUGUCUGGCUACUUUGAGGGUGUUGAUGAAUUCUGUAUGAAUGUUGUUGUCUGGCUACUUUGAGGGUGCCAAUGAGGUUUGUAUGAAUGUUGUUGUCUGCCUACAUUGAGGGUGUUGAGGUCUGCAUGAAUGUUGUUGUCUGGCUACUAUGAGGGUGUUGUUCAGCUCUGUAUGAAUGUUGUUGUCUGGCUACUUUGAGGGUGCUGAUGAGGUCUGUAUGAAUGUUGUUGUCUGGCUACUUUGAGGAUGCUGAUGAGGUCUGUACGAAUGUUGUUUUCUGGCUACUCUGAGGGGGCUGAUGAGGUCUGCAUGAAUGUUGUUGUCUGGCUACUUUGAGGGUGCUGAUGAAGUCUGUAUGAAUGUUGUUGUCUGGCUACUUUGAGGGUGUUGAUGAGGUCAGUAUGAAUGUUGUUGUCUGGCUACUUUGAGGGUGCUGAUGAAGUCUGUAUGAAUGUUGUUGUCUGGCUACUUUGAUGGUGUUGAUGAAUUCUGUAUGAAUGUUGUUGUCUGGCUACUUUAAGGGUGCUGGUGGGGUCUAUGAAUGAUGUUGUCUGGCUACUUUGAGGGUGCUGAUGAGGUCAGUAUGAAUGUUGUUGUCUGGCUACAUUGAGGGUGUUGAGGUCUGCAUGAAUGUUGUAUGGCUACUCUGAGGGGGCUGAUGAGGUCUGUAUGAAUUUUGUUGUCUGGCUACUUUGAAGGUGUUGAUGAGGCCUGUGUGAAUGUUGUAUGGCUACUUUGAGGGUGUUGUUCAGCUCUGUAUGAAUGUUGUUGGCCUACGUUGAGGGUGUUGAUGAGCUCUGUGAAUGUUGUUAUCUUGUUGGCUUUCUCCAUUGAUACAGAAAUUGUUAUUUUGCUUACAAAAAUAAAAGAACAUGUAUUCAUAAAUUGUUA
rnacentral:misc_RNA from 1 species